GACGAACGCUGGCGGCGUGCUUAACACAUGCAAGUCGAACGGUGAAGCUCCAGCUUGCUGGUGUGGAUCAGUGGCGAACGGGUGAGUAACACGUGAGCAACCUGCCCCUGACUCUGGAAUAAGCGCUGGAAACGGCGUCUAAUACUGGAUACGAGAAGGGUCCGCAUGGGCACUUUCUGGACAGUUUUUCGGUUGGGGAUGGGCUCGCGGCCUAUCAGCUUGUUGGUUAGGUAAUGGCUCACCAAGGCGACGACGGGUAGCCGGCCUGAGAGGGCGACCGGCCACACUGGGACUGAGACACGGCCCAGACUCCUACGGGAGGCAGCAGUGGGGAAUAUUGCACAAUGGGCGAAAGCCUGAUGCAGCGACGCCGCGUGAGGGAUGACGGCCUUCGGGUUGUAAACCUCUUUCAGCAGGGAAGAAGCGAAAGUGACGGUACCUGCAGAAGAAGCACCGGCUAACUACGUG
rnacentral:rRNA from 1 species